UACAGAGGGUGCGAGCGUUUAAUCGGAAUUACUGGGCGUAAAGCGCGCGUAGGCGGCUUUGUAAGUUAGAGGUGAAAGCCCGGAGCUCAACUCCGGAAUUGCCUUUAAGACUGCAUCGCUUGAAUCCGGGAGAGGUGAGUGGAAUUCCGAGUGUAGAGGUGAAAUUCGUAGAUAUUCGGAAGAACACCAGUGGCGAAGGCGGCUCACUGGACCGGUAUUGACGCUGAGGUGCGAAAGCCAGGGGAGGCAAACGGG
rnacentral:rRNA from 1 species